CUACGGGGGGCUGCAGUGAGGAAUAUUGCACAAUGGGGGGGACCCUGAUGCAGCAACGCCGCGUGGAGGAUGACGCAUUUCGGUGUGUAAACUCCUUUUAUAUGUCAAGAAAAUGACGGUAGCAUAUGAAUAAGCACCGGCUAACUCCGUGCCAGCAGCCGCGGUAAUACGGAGGGUGCAAGCGUUACUCGGAAUCACUGGGCGUAAAGGACGCGUAGGCGGGUUGGAAAGUCAGGUGUGAAAUCCUACAGCUUAACUGUGGAACUGCACUUGAAACUUCUAAUCUAGAGUAUGGGAGGGGGAGAUGGAGUUAGUGGUGUAGGGGUAAAAUCCGUAGAUAUCACUAGGAAUACCUAAAGCGAAGGCGAUCUCCUGGAACAUUACUGACGCUAAGGCGUGAAAGCGUGGGGAGCAAACAGGAUUAGAUACCCCCGUAGUC
rnacentral:rRNA from 1 species